rnacentral:misc_RNA from 3 species
GACUCUCGGCAACGGAUAUCUUGGCUCUCGCAUCGAUGAAGAACGUAGCGAAAUGCGAUACUUGGUGUGAAUUGCAGAAUCCCGUGAAUCAUCGAGUCUUUGAACGCAAGUUGCGCCCCAGGCCGUCAGGCCGAGGGCACGCCUGCCUGGGCGUCACGCACCGAGUCGCCCCCAACCUCUUCUCUGCGGAGGAAGGGAGCGGACAAUGGCUCCCCGUGCCCAGCGCGCGGUCGGCCCAAAAGACGGCUCCGGGAGGCGAGCGUCGCGAUCCGUGGUGGUUGUAAAGACACGCCUCAGAACCGGAUCGUCGGCCGAGCCAUCCCCCGGGCCACCGGGACCCCGAAGGGCCGUCCCCCUCCCAGGAGGAGAGGAGACGGCGCCCACUCU